rnacentral:lncRNA from 1 species
CCAGAAGGAAUGCAACACCUAAGUUGCACCAAGUUUCGCAUCUCUUUGCUGAGGUAGAAAAAUUUCCAUUGUAGCUCACACUUAAUUUCAGUAUUCUAGCUGAUACAAAGCUAAAGGACUUGUCUAUGAGCAGCUUUUCAUGCAUUCAAAAGCUAAGGACGACUGAAGCAUGGGCCAAAUUGGAAGCAAUUCGAUCAUUGUCACAAAAAGAAAAAGAAAAAAAGUAUAUAGCGAGCAAACUGGUCCAGACACCACCGUCCUCAAAAAAGGAAGCAAAAAAGAACACAAGUCUGCAGUAGGUUGAUGAUCUGGGAUCCCGUUCUUUGGGGCUGGUAAAUCCAGAAAUUUGUGCAAUCAGAAGGUCAUAACUCAAACUAACAAUUAGACAAGGUGAAAAUUGUAGCUGGAUAAAGCCACACAUCUCAAUGAUUUACAGAAAAGAUGUAGAUCUUUCUAUUUUUUUCAUUCAAAAUAAGAUUUAAAAAGCAGCAACUAUGCCUCACAGGAAUCAAACAAACCGAAUCCUUGAGGUAGUUCAAGGUUACAUAAAGCCACAUAUCUCAAUGAUUUACAGAAAAGAUGUAGAUCUUUCUAUUUUUUUCAUUCAACAUAAGAUUUAAAAAGCAGCAAUUAUGCCUCACAGGAAUCAAACAAACCGAAUCCUUGAGGUAGUUCAAGGUUAUCAACUAGACUACAGGUACUGCUCAGUAAAAAGAGGAUCUUUCCUACCCCUUAAGGUUUGUCAAAGAGCAAUAUCAGCUAGCAGGAACCAAAAACUAGAAUUACCAAGUAGAAUUAUCCUUACAUCA